rnacentral:sRNA from 1 species
UUUUUUUUCAAAAUGUGUGAGUAAUUACCCUUGCUGUUACUAAACGGAACAAUCGGCCUGACCUUAGAAAUUCAACUAGAGUGUAAGACCUGUAUGGCAGAAACAUUAUCAUUGUUGUCUAGGACCAAGAGAUUUUGGAGGCGUAAUUUCAUUUCUAUUGCUCUCCCUUCAUUUGUAAUAACUACCAUUGUUCUUGACUAUAGAAGAACUCAGAGAUAUAAGCAACAAAAAGCUUGAGAAAUGUCUCUGCGAAGACUUAGAAGUGAACAUUUGAAGGAGUUGGCCUGGAUAGCAUUUCCACUGUCUGCCAUGUUAUUUGGUGGUUACCAACAGUUUCUGUGGGAUAGACAAAGCACACUGUAUCGCAACAAAAGCAAGCUGUUUGGUGGCCGGAAGUUAGAAGAUGGGAAAGAAGCUUGGUACUAAUUGUAGUUAAAACAUUAAGACUGUAUGUACAGAUAAAAUUAGGACACACUUUUGAUGUUGUUGCAUUCACAACAUAUUUUAUUUUAGUUCAAAAUGAAUAAAAAAACUAAUAAUACAA